rnacentral:rRNA from 1 species
UACGAAGGGGGCGAGCGUUGUUCGGAUUUACUGGGCGUAAAGGGCGCGCAGGCGGCUCGUUUUGUCAGGCGUGAAAGCCCCGGGCUUAACCUGGGAACUGCGUUUGAGACGGAUGGGCUAGAGUUCGGGAGAGGAGCGUGGAAUUCCCAGUGUAGAGGUGAAAUUCGUAGAUAUUGGGAAGAACACCGGUGGCGAAGGCGGCGACUCUGGCC